AUGCAAGUCGAGCGAAUGGAUUGAGAGCUUGCUCUCAAGAAGUUAGCGGCGGACGGGUGAGUAACACGUGGGUAACCUGCCCAUAAGACUGGGAUAACUCCGGGAAACCGGGGCUAAUACCGGAUAAUAUUUUGAACUGCAUGGUUCGAAAUUGAAAGGCGGCUUCGGCUGUCACUUAUGGAUGGACCCGCGUCGCAUUAGCUAGUUGGUGAGGUAACGGCUCACCAAGGCAACGAUGCGUAGCCGACCUGAGAG
rnacentral:rRNA from 1 species